AACUUAAAUAACUCUCAAUAAAUCACGCAAUUCCCAAAACCGUUGGUACAAGUCAUAAGCCUUUGUAAGAGUAAUUAUACAAACUAUAUACGACAUUUUUCCAAAACAAGAAAUCAAUGAAAUGUAGCUACAAACGAAUGUGACUCCGAGGCCAGCAAACGCAACAACAAGUUACUAUAAGUCUCCAACGUGACGACCCGCACAACUACUAUUGAUCAAUGCCUGCAUAUUACACAAAAAAUAUAUAGAAGUGUACUAUAAGCAUACAACAGCGGUACCCAAUAAGUAUCACGAUUAACCUCGGUAGGGUAGUGACGAAGAGCAGUCAAGACACCUACUGGUCAAAUAAAAUGAACAUGAUAUAAUAAUAAACUAUCUUGAUAAAGAUAACGAGGUAAUAUCAACAUCGAAACAAAAUCAAAAUACAAAUAAUAAGAACAUGGAGUACGGGGGUAGUAAUGAAUGACAACCAAGUAAAUCAACACUAACAUAAGAGGAACAGAGACAAGUAAGAAUGAAUUCAAUUAAAAAAGGAAUGUCACCUCAAUCAAUCACAUUAUUUCAACUACACAAUUUCGACCAUCUCAAUCCGAGGUUUCUCAUAUCAUGAUCUUAACUUCUGAAUCUUCCGCACAUGUGGAACCUUGUGCCCCCAUAUUUUUCAUGUCACUUUUAACACAAAAUCCACAUUCCAUACAAUACAUAAGGUCCAUACAAUGCACGAGAUAUGUCCAAGAAGAAACAUUUACCUAAUAUAAGUACAAUAACAAUUUCUAAAUAAAUUGGGAAAUCCAACGAGAAAAGAUGAUAUUUUUUCUGUUAAAAUCAUUUGAUUAAAGAAAACAUCUCUUUUUAAUUUUAAAAAUACAAUGUUGAAUGAAUUAUUCCCUUUUACAUGACAUUUAAUAACUUAAAAACUUAGUAGAAAUACACUUUUAAGUAAAAUACGAUCUCAGACAUUUUAAGGGGGGGUAUAAUGGAGAAACUAAUUGAAGUAAGGUUGCAACGAUUAUUAAAGUUUAAUGUAUUGGAGUAUAUAUAUAUAUAUAUAUAUAUAUAUAUAUAUGUAUAUAUAUAUAUAUAUAUAUANNNNNNNNNNNNNNNNNNNNNNNNNNNNNNNNNNNNNNNNNNNNNNNNNNNNNNNNNNNNNNNNNNNNNNNNNNNNNNNNNNNNNNNNNNNNNNNNNNNNNNNNNNNNNNNNNNNNNNNNNNNNNNNNNNNNNNNNNNNNNNNNNNNNNNNNNNNNNNNNNNNNNNNNNNNNNNNNNNNNNNNNNNNNNNNNNNNNNNNNNNNNNNNNNNNNNNNNNNNNNNNNNNNNNNNNNNNNNNNNNNNNNNNNNNNNNNNNNNNNNNNNNNUAUAUAUAUAUAUAUAUAUAUAUAUAUAUAUUUAUAUAUAUAUAUAUACAUGGUGAGGUAUGGAUAACAUUGUAGGUUCUAACACAAAGAAUCACAGCAUUAAGGGAAUUUAAAUAGUUUAAACAUUUGAAUUGGUAGCAACAAAUAAAUACAACAGCAGGAAAUCUACAGCACCACCCUUAGUGUUUUUACUCUUAUUCUCACCAUAAGAACAAAUAUUCACUGUAAAUGUUUAUUAUUGCAGCGUGCAACCCGAUUCAAUCAUAUAGUAUUAUUGUGGAGUGCAACCCUAUCCAAAUCAUAUAAUAUUUUUGAGGCGUGCACCCCAAUCCAAAUCAUAUAAUACUGCUGCAGCUCAAUCCAAAUCAUACAAUGAUGUUGUGAAGUGCAACCCAAUCCAUUUAAUAUUAUUGCAACAAACAACCCGAUCUAUAUAAUAUUAUUGCGGCGUGCAACCUGAUCCAUUUAAUAUUAUUGCGGUGUGCAAUCAGAUUCAUUUAAUAUACAAACCAACACUAAUAACAAAAUAAUUUCGGCAAGGGAACAAUAAGGAAACAACCAUAUCUCGACAAGAGAGUCAGCAACAAGAGUAAACAUAUCCUGGCAACGGAACAAACAGUAAAUAUUAAAAUGUCCAGUAAGGAAAUCAGAUAUAAUCAAACCUGUACCGAUAAUUAACUUUACAAUGAAGCCUCAACUAAACAACAAGACAUAAUAAAUACACCAGUAAUCUGUCACGACCCCAGUUUGCCCUACGUGAACCAUCGUGACGACACCUAGUCUCUACGAGUAGAUAAGCCUAAAUUGUGGAAGUAAAACAAUUCAAAACUGGAAUAAAGUAAUAACAGUGUUUAAAGGUUCCGCUUGGCAUACACCAUGUUCAUCCCUCAAUAACAAUACAUAAAUCCAAGACCGGGAAACCCAUGAAUCACAAGCUAAGAAAAUACUAAAUAGCUCUAACUCAGGAAAUGUCUAACCAGAAUAGAAAAUACAGAAGGGCUAAGUACUCAAAAGCACGAAUAAAAAGAGAUUUCGGGGUAUGCGGAUGCAGUAGAUAUACCACGAAUGCCCUACGGUAGUCGCCUCGCCUCAGGGGCGAUAGGACUCAGUAGAAGUACCUGGAUAUUCACAUGAAAAACAUGCGCAGAAAGAGGCAGGAGUACACCACAACAGUACUUAGUAAGAGUCAAUCCUAACCUCGGUCGGGUAGUGACGAAGAAGGUCAGGGCCCUACUGAGGUUAAACAAAAAUAUAAAGUUCAACAGUAUCGAAUAGAACAGAAUGAAUAAGUGCAGAUGUGAAAAUAAUAUAGAAUAUACAAGACAGCAAUAACUACACAGAAACAAGGUAAAUAUAAAAAAAAAAGCACAGCUGAGAACCAAUAAUACCGAUCGGGAAUAUCACAGGAUACCGUCCUGUAGUCCCAAAAUCACGUAUCUGAUAAGUCUCCCAGGAUACCAUCCGGUAGUCCUACUACCACUACGUAGGGAUCUACCAAAAAUCUCGUUACGUAGUACUAAAUAUAAAUACCCAGUACUGGGGGAAACUACCUGAUGCAUUCCCGUAGUUCCAUAUAAUUAUGCAUGAGGAUCUACCGGAAUCCCACAUCCAUAGUCCCAAAAUAAACAGGCGAGGGGUAUCUACCGAAAUCCCACAUUUGUAGUCCCAAUGUAAAUACACAGCAGGGACAAGAAAAUAUUCAGAAAUGGAAAUUUCAUAUUAAGGCAACAAGUAAUUCUAUCCUAGCAUGCUACACAGAGUUCAAGUAAAGCAGGUUGAACAAAUAAGGCAAUGAAAUCACUUAGAUAUGCUUUACUAAACAAACAACGGGUCUAAUAAUACAAGUAAUGAAAACAGGAAAAGGAACAUACUAGUAAAUACUUAAUGAAAAUCGAACUUUUCAACAAUUUGUACAAGUACACACUCUUCACCUCAUUGUACAAGGCAUUUCAAUUACGAAAUAUACCUAUUCUAAGGGGAUGGUACCCCAUACAAGGAUAGACAAGCCACUUACCUCGAACCGGCUCAAAAUCAACCUCCGACCACAUUCUUGACACGAAUACUCAACCCCAAAUGGCCCAAAUCUUUUCAUUUCAAUUUCUUAAUGUAAAUAAAACUUCAAAUAAUUGAUUCCACAAUUAAAUUCUAAGCUAAUACGCAAAAUUAGGUAAAACUACAAAAUUGCCGCUCGAGCCCACAUCUCGAAAUCGGGUAAAAUUUAUUUUUUACAACAAUCACACUCUCACGAAUCUAAUUAUAUCAAAAUUCUCCCAAUCUGAUGUCAAAUUCCCAAUCAAAACUCAAUUUCUUAGUCUAAUAACUUUUCCCCCAAGUUUCCACCAAAUUGCAAAAUUAAUGGAUGGACUUAAGUGUAGAUUCAUGGAAAUUAUUCUAUACCGAGUACGAAUCACUUAAUCAAAUUACCCAGGUGAAAAUCUCUUCAAAAAUUGCAUUCUCUCGAGCUCCUAAGUCCAAAAUAUGAGAUAUAGUUCAAACACUCGAUUUUGGGUUUUAAAAAUUUGCCCAGGUGUUUCCUUCUUUGCGAAUGCGGUCAACGCCUCGCGUUCACGAAGCAGUAAAAUUGACCUUGACAAAAGUCCUCUUACGCGAACACGACAAGAACACUCGCGAACGUGAUUAUUCCUCAGACUUACCCUUCGCGGAUUCACUCCCUCUCUCGUAAACGCGAUAAAUAAACUUGACCAUAGACCCAGUUGACGAAUUACUCUACGCGAACGCGCUACCCUUCUUGCAAACGCGAUGCACGAACACCCAGACCUUCGCGAACGCGGAGCCUUCCUCGCAAAGAGAAAGGCUAAAAUUCCACUAUCUUACACUGACUCUUUGCAAAUGCAAGGGUCCACUCGUGAAAGCAAAGAGUAAAUAUCUACAACAGCUGAACCUACAAUUCUGCAACUCCACACUUUAUGAAUUGGUCCAAUUGAUCACCCGAAACUCACUCGAGACCCCUGGGACCUCAACCAAACAUACCAACAUAUCCCAGAACAUCGUUCAAACUUGUUCCACCUUUCGGAAUUCUCAAAACAACAUCAAAACACCUCUUUUUCAUUGGAUUCAAUAAAAAUUCAAAAAACACUAAAAACACGCUUCCGAUCAAAAAGUCUAUCAAGCCUCUUUUGAAUGACCUGAAAUUUUUCACACACGUCACAUUCAACAGUACGGAGCUACUCCAACUUUCGGAAUUCCAUUGCAACCCUGAGAUAAAAAUCUUGCUAUAGAACCGGAAACUUCAAAAAUUCAACUUUCAGCAUUUCAAGCCUAUAUUAGCUACGGACCUCCAAAGCACAAUCCGAAUACGCUUCUAACCCCAAAAUAACACAACAGAGCAAACGAAACAAUCAAAUUUCCAUUCUGAGGCCGAAUUUAUACUAUUCUGAAUACGGUCAAUUUUCAAACACCUAAUAUCUCACUUACGGACUAAGUGUCCCAAAACUCUCUGAAACUCAAAAUCGAACAUCUUGGUAAAUCAAAAUAGCAUAAAUAAACUUGGGUAAAGCAGUCAAUAGGGGAUCAGGGCAUUCAAAUCUUAAGACAUCUGGUCUGGUUGUCAAAUCCUCCUACACUUAAACAUUGGUCGUCCUCGAACGAGCAUAGAUACAUACCUGAAGUAGUGAAACGAUGAGAGUAACAGCUGCGCAUAUUCUACUCGGUCACCCAGGUCUUCUCCUCGACUGGCUGGACCCUCCACUGAACCUUUAUUGAUGCGAUGUUCUUUGAAAUCAACUUUCUAACCUAUUUGUCCAAUAUUGCCACUGGCUACUCAACAUAGGAUUUAUCCUUGUCCAACUAGACUGAACUGAAAUCCAAGAAGUGAAACAGAUCACCGUGAUACCUCUGGAGCAGUGAAACAUGCAAUAGCGGGUGAACUCCUACCAACAUGGGAGGUAAGGUAAGCUCAUAACCAACCUCCCUAACACACCUCAAUAUCUUAAAAGGGCCAAUAAACCUCGGACUCAACUUCCAUUUCUUCCAAAAUCUCAUAACACCCUUCAUAGGCAAAACCCGAAGCAAAACACGCUCUGCAACCAUAUAGGAAACAUCACGAACCUUCUAGUCCGUGUAACUCUUCUAUCUAGACUAGCGUGUACAGAGUCUAUCCUGAAUCACCUUAAUCUUCUCCAAAGCAUCCUUAGCCAAGUCUGUAGCAAAUAAUCUAGCCCCACCCAGCUCAAACCACCCACCGGAGAACUACACCGCCUACCAUAUAAAGCCUCAUACGGUGCCAUCUAAAUGAUGGACUUAUUGUUCUUGUUGUAAGCAAACUCUGCCAAUGGCAUGAACUCAUCCCAAGACCCUUGAAACUCAAUCACAUAUGUGUGGAGCAUAUCCUCAAAAAUCAUAAUAGUGCGCUUGGACUGUCUAUCCGUCUGAGGGUAAAAUUCUGUACUCAACUCCACCUGGGAACCCAAUUCAUGUUGAACGGACCUCCAGAACCGUGAUGCGAACUAAGUACCUCUACCAAAAAUGAUGGACACCGGAAUACCAUGGAGACGAACAAUCUUCGAAUAUAAAUCUCUGCCAACAGCUUCGAAGAAUAAGUAGUACACACAUGAAUAAAUUAGAGGACUUGGUCAGUCGAUCCACAAUCACCCAAAUAGCAUCAAAAUUCCUCAAAGUCCGUGGGAGCCCAACUAUAAAGUCGAUGGUGAUUCACUCCCACUUGUACUUUAAACUCUCUAUCUACUGAAGUAACUCACCCGAUCUCUGGUGCUCACACUUCACCUACUGGCAGUUGAGACACCGAGCUACUAACAAAACUAUGUCUUUCUUCAACCGCCUCCGCCAAUAGUGCUACCUCAAAUCCUGAUACAUCUUCGCGGCACCCAGAUGGAUGGAAUACUGUGAACUCUGCGCCUCCUCUAGAAUCAACUCUCGCAGCUCAUCAAUAUUGGGUACACAGAUCCGACCCUACAUCCUUAAUAUUCUAUCAUCACCAAUAGUCACAUCUUUGGUAUCAUCGUGCUGAACCUUGUCCUUGAGGAAAAGCAAACGAGGGUCAUCAUAUUGCCGCUCCCUGAUAUGAUAAAAUAAGGAAGAUUAAGAAAUCAGGCAAGCUAGAACUCAACUAGGAUCUGAAAGGUCCAAUCUAAUAAACUGGUUGGCUAAUGCCUGCACAUCCAUCGCCAUAGGCCUUUAUGAUGCUAGCAAAUAUGCCAAACUCCCCAAAAUCACCACCUAGCGACUUAAAGCAUCGGCCACCACAUUAGCCUUGCUUGGGUGAUUCAAAAUAGUGAUAUCAUAGUCAUUCAGCAACUCUAACAACCUCCUGGUGACAAUUUAGAUCAUUUUUCUUUAACAAGUGCUACAAGUUCCAAUGGUCAAUAUAAAUCUCAUAGGUAACCUAGUAUAAAUAAUGGCACCAGAUCUUCAGGGCGUGAACAAUGGAAGCUAACUCAAGGUCCUGAACAGGGUAAUUCUUCUCAUAUAACUUCAACUGUCUGGACGCGUAGACAAUCACCCUACCAUCCUGCAUCAACACAACUCCGAGGUCAAUCCUCGAGCAUCACAAUUGCCGUAUAAGACCCCGAACCUGAAGGCAACACAAAAAAUGAGUUUUGGUCAAAGUUUUCUUAAGUUUUAGAAAGCUCACCUUGCACUCCUCUUUCCAAUGAAAUGAGAACCCUUCGGGGUCAACCUGGUCAUAGGGGCUGCAGUCGAUGAAAACCCCUCCACAAAAUGACGAUAGUAGCCCGGCAAGACAAGGAAACUGUGUAUCUCUACAGUUGUCGAUGAUAUGGUCCAACUCUGCAUGGCCAUAAUUCGUUUGAUCCACCUGAAUACCCUGAGUCGAUACACCGUGUCCUAAGAAUGCCACUGAAUUCAGCCAAAUCUCACAUUUUGAGAUCAUAGCAUAUAUUUUCUUCUCUAUCAGAGUCUAAAGCGCAUUCCUCAAGUGUUGCUCAUGAUCUUCCCGACUCCAGGAAUCACCAGAAUAUCAUCAAUAAAGAAUAUAACGAACGAGUCAAGAAAUGCACGGAACACACAGUGCAUUAAAUGCAUAUAGGAUGCUGGGGCAUUGGUCAAUCCAAAUGAAAUAACAAGGAACUCAUAAUGACUAUAUCGCAUCCGGAAGGCAUUCUUCAAGAUAUCUGUCUCCUGAAUCUUCAACUAAUUGUAACCCAAGUGCAAAUCAAUCUUAGAAAACACCAGUGCGCCCGGUAGCUGGUCAAACAAAUCAUCAAUACGAGGCAAAGGAUACCGGUUCUUCACUGUACCCUUGUUCAACUGGCAAUAAUCGAUACAUAUAAUUAUUUUACACGACAAACAAGACUGGAGAAUCCUGAGGUGAUACACUAGGCCGAAUAUAACCCUUAUCAAGCAAGUCAUGUGACUGAUCCUUCAACUCCUACAACUCAUAAGGAGCCUUAGGAUACGGAGGAAUAGUAAUGGGCUGAGUGCCCAGCAACAGAUCAAUGCCAAAAUCAUUAUCUCUAUCAAGUGGCAUGCCCGGAAGGGUAGCUAGAAACGCAUUAGGAAAAUCAUGUACUAUUGGGACUAAAUCAGCUGAACGGGUAUCAAUACUGACAUCUCUCACAUAAGCUAAAUAUGCAUCACACCCCUUCUCAACAAUUCGCUAAGCUUUAAAUAAAGAAAUAACUCUACUAGGAGUGUGAUCUAAAGUACCCCUCUACUCAACACGCGGUACUCCUGUCAUAUCCAUCGUUAUUUUGGCAUGACAAUCAAGAAAAGCAUAGUGGGACGACAACCAGUCCAUGCCUAGGAUAAUAUCGAAGUCAACCAUGCUGAGUAAUAAUAAAUCAGCUUUGGUCACAAAACCACUAAGAACAACCAAAAACGACAGAUAAACGUGAUCCACAACAAGAGAAUCUCCCACUGAAGUAGAAGCAUAAAUGGGGGAAUCAAAGAAUCCCAAGGUACACCCAAAUGUGGAGCAAAAUAAGAAGACACAUAAGAGUAAAUGGAGCCUGGUUCGAAUAGAAAUGAUGUAUCUUUGUGACAAACCAGCAUAACACAUGUGAUGACAGAAUCGGAGGCGAUAGACUCGAUACAGGCAUGAAUGGCAUAUUAUCUAGCUUGGCCUCCCCCUCGAGGGAAACCUCUACCUCCCCAACCUCUACCUCUAGUUGGCUGAGCAGGUGCGGUAGCAACUGGGUUGUAACCAUAUCUUGAGAAUUAUACAGGGAACGAUCGAAGUCUGUGGACGUGCACCCUCGCAAGUCAGGGGCAAUCCCUCACCAUAUGGCAUGUGUCACCACACUCAAGACAAGCUCUCGGAGGAUGUGGUGCUUGUGAUUAGCUAGGGGUAGGUCUUCUGGACUGACCUCUUAAAGCACCCCAUGCAUGAGGCGCACUAGAAACCAAAGGUGCAUAAUAAGGCUCUUGAGGCCUAGGAGGAGCUGGAGCACUACUGGCUGCUGGAAGAGUUUAAUGAACAAGGCGACCCAUAUAACCCCUACCAUGAUGAGCUGCAGCUGGAGUACGGGCACCAGAAUAAUGGCCCGACUCUUGAGACCUCUUGGCAUCCCUCUCCUUUUUUCUUUAGCAUGCAUACCCUCAAUCUUCCUAGCAAUGCUCACCACGUGCUGAUAAGAAAUAUCAAUCUCCAACUCAUGAGCCAUGCUAGAUCUAAUGUUGGGAAUAAGUCCCUCAAUAAACUGACAAACCCUCUCGCAGACAGUAGAAACCAAGGAUGGGUAAUGUCUAGCCAAGCUAGUGUAACGGACAACAUACUAUGAGACUGUCAUAGUACGUAGCGCAAAUGCUCAAGCUCUAUGAGGCAUGCGUCCCUGAGGCUAUAAAGAACAAACUCUCUCAUGAAUAGAUCAGAAAACUAAGUAUGAGCAAGUGAAGCAGCCUCAUCUGGACUGUCUAACUCAUAGGUGCGCCACCACUCAUAGGCGGCUCCUCGAAGAUGGAAAGUAGUAAAGGAAACCCCAGUGGAUCCUAAUAUACCCAUGGUACGGAGAUUAUGAUAGCACUCCUCCAGAAACCCCAAGGCAUCAUCCGAUAAUAAUCCACUGAAUAUCGAAGGAUCAUACUUCUUGAACCUCUCAAGUAUUCGCUACUCAUUCUCUGUAGUCGAUGCCCUAUCCUCGGGCUUAUCUGUCACUGCAGGCGGCACAGCAAUAACUUCUGGAACAAGAUCAGCAUGAACUCACUACAUAGGAGUAUGGGCGGCGGAAGACUCUGCUCCUCCCCCAACCUGAGAUGUGGCUACAGCAAGGGAAAGCAACCCUGACAGAGCCAGAUUGGUGUACAUGCUCAUGAACUGCGCCAGAGUUUCCUGAAGGGAUGGAGUAGUAGUAGAAAUAGGCGUGUCAUGUGUGGUGUCACGACCCCACUUCGCCCCCCAUGAACUAUCAUGAUAAAACCUAAUCUCUACGACUAGGUAAGACUAACAAGUGCGGGAAAUAAGAAACUGGUAAAAAUAUACAAUAAGAGCUAAAACUAACCAAAUGAAAACAAUAUAUAUAACAUAUCACUCAGCAUAUAUAACUUAACAUCUCAAAUUUCUUAGAAGACUAUCCCAAAAACCAAAAACACACGGGAAUACAAGCGGAAAGGAAAUACAGUAAAGUUCUCUAACUCUAGAGUGUCUACAUCAACAGUAAGGUAGAAAAGCUAACAUUAAUAAAUAGAAUAAAGAUAGAGACUCCUUGGUCUACGGAUGUGGUAGUUGUACCUCUAAAUCUCCAAAUGAUCUUUCUGCCUCAAGGGUUAUAAGACUAGGUAGAAGUGCUUGGAUGUACACAUGAAAGACAUGCGUAGAAAGGGCAUGAGUACACCAUAGCCGUACUCAUUAAGUACCAAGCCUAACCUCGGUCAGGGCCCCACUGAGGUAAAUAAUAAUAAAAAGACAAGAUAAGGUAAACAAUAUAAGUGAGAAUCUACAGUAAUAGUCUAUACAUGAUGAUAUGAGUACUGUCACACCUUCUUUUUCAUUAUACAGCUCUCAAGGGGCGUAAAGGAGUUUUUCCAAUUAAAGGACAAUCGGAACGGGAUUUGGUUUAUUGAUUAUUCAUUGUCGCCACUUGGGAGAUUAAUGGUGUCCCAAUUCACCAGUUGAAUCCCGAACCAAGGAAAAUUAUGACUCUUUUACAGUCUCUGAAUCAGAAAUCCGAGUAAGGAAAUCUGUUAACCUGGGAGAAGGUACUAGGCAUUCCAGGGUUCCGUGAUUCUAGCACGUUCACUUAAAUGUUGUAUUUGAUUUUAUCUGAUUUUAAUACAUGCUAGCUUAUUUGCCUUUUAUUUCGUAAACUGCUUUUUAUCACUGUUUAUUAUAAAAGAAUUGCGAAAUCGUGAAAUUGCAUUUUGUACCACGUCGCAAUCAAUGCACCCGUGGUAGUCGACACACUUCGACUUCGUCGAGAUUUGGAUUUGGGUCGCAUCAAUGCGCACCGAGUUUAAGAGUGUAAUGUAAUUAAAUCACGCUUAAAGAUUCUAAUGUAAUAUAUUUUGGGAAAAGUCAUGGUAUUCACUAAACGACCCUCCCAAAUUCAAAUGAUUUUUAAUAACCAAUUAUUGAGGGCCCCGUAUUUGUCAUUUAUUUUGACCGAGGCUCAUCUCAUUAUUUCCUUGAAAGGUCGACCCUAAAGAGACUAUGUUUUUUUUAUCUCGUCUCUUAAAAUAAAACAAAUCAUAGUUAAUUGUUAUUGAGAAAUACUAUAGCCAUCAGUAGAAAAUUAGUAGAUCAAAUGCCAUUUCAAAAUAUAACAUCCGAAUUACUCUUGGGCCCUUGCAUCAGGACUGAAACAGGCCCAAGCAGAGGCGGGCACCAGCAGGCUGCCUGUGAGGGAUAGAAUCCUAGGCAAAGCUCAAUGGGAAGAAACGAAGUCCCAGGUGGCUGUGGUGCCACGACUUGGGAUCGAAUCCAGUAAGAAGGGCAACAAUUCAAAUGGCUGUGAAGCCAACAGCGAACUCAAGUCGUAGAAAAACAUAAUAGUUUGUAGCAAAUAAAAACAUUGAUGAGAUCCGAUGCUAAUUUACUAAUAGCAAUUCACAAAUGCUAAUAGAAGGUUAAUAGUCAAUAUGAAAGCUAUCAAACUAAUCUACAUGCUGAGCUAGACUAAAAGCUCAACCAAACGAAACACCUGGACGCAUGACUAAAUAACAUAAGGCUAUUUUGAACUAUUGUUACUACUCAAUUUUAUUCUCAGGUCUUGUUACUACAUAUCAUAAGCUAUAACUAAAAUUUAAUAACACAACCAUUAUUCAAUCAUUUACUACAACAAAGUUUACUUAAUCCACUAGUAGAACAUUCAUCUAAACAAGACUGUUUCACAUAUGGAAACCAACAGAAAUCUAGUGAAUUCAGCAAUCAUUUUGAGCACAUUUCUUCAUUUGAUUCUUCAAUUCAAAUUACAUCGAUCCUUCGUAAUUCAUACAAGGCCAAGGAUAGUACCUGGAUGUUGAGAGGAAACAGGAAAAGAAGGAGACAGGAGCAGCAAUGCAACAGUGAUUCCAGAAUAUUUUCAACAACCAGUAGUUUAAACCGAAAUCAAACAGGAAAGACCAACAGGAUAAUUAAUAGCCAAAGCAAAUGAGCCAAAAAAACCCAAAUGCAGGAAUGCCAAAAUCCAAGCAGAAACUAACCAACAGACCCAAAUCAGCUUGAUACUAACUCGAUACUAACCCUGAAUUACGCUUAAACCUUCAACCAACUCACAUUUCAAUUAAAACCGGCUUAAACAUAUCCAAAUCUGUAGGAAACCAAACUAGUAACUCUCUGAAGUUUCAAAACCCAAACGUUGAACUAAAUUUGGAAAAUCAACAACUAGAAUAGAAAUCUUGAGUUAUCUAAUGGAAUAGUAGUUUUUUUCUGAUUUUCUUUUAGAUUUUUACUGUUUUUGGUUUUUCAGGAAAUCACUACAAUUUUUUUUUAUUUUUGAUUUUUGAAGAUUUUGGAGUUUGGAUCUCAAGUUUAAGAUCUGAAACUUGUAGAGGAAAUGGGGAAAUUUUUGUGAGGUUCCAAACUUGUGAAUAAAGUAAAUGCCAUGCCCUUUAAUAGGCACAAAUGAGGUCAGCCCUCAGAUUUUCAGAAUUCAAUCCAGUCCCUGAUUUUUUACAGCUUUGAUCCCUCA
rnacentral:lncRNA from 1 species